GACAGCAGCAGCCACGGUAAUACGAAGGGGGCUAGCGUUGUUCGGAUUCACUGGGCGUAAAGCGCACGUAGGCGGAUCGAUCAGUCAGGGGUGAAAUCCCAGAGCUCAACUCUGGAACUGCCUUUGAUACUGUCGAUCUGGAGUAUGGAAGAGGUGAGUGGAAUUCCGAGUGUAGAGGUGAAAUUCGUAGAUACUUGGAGGAACACCAGUGGCGAAGGCGGCUCACUGGUCCAUUACUGACGCUGAGGUGCGAAAGCGUGGGGAGCAAACAGGAUUAGAUACCCGGGUAGUCCCUGUCUCUUAUAC
rnacentral:rRNA from 1 species